AUUGAACGCUGGCGGAAUGCUUUACACAUGCAAGUCGAACGAUGAACCUUAGCUUGCUAAGGGGAUUAGUGGCGAACGGGUGAGUAAUGUAUCGGAACGUAUCCAAUAAUGGGGGAUAACUAGUCGAAAGAUUAGCUAAUACCGCAUACGUCCUACGGGAGAAAGCUAGGGACCUUCGGGCCUGGCGUUAAUGGAGCGGCCGAUAUCUGAUUAGCUAGUUGGUGGGGUAAAGGCUCACCAAGGCGACGAUCAGUAGCUGGUCUGAGAGGACGACAAGCCACACUGGAACUGAGACACGGUCCAGACUCCUACGGGAGGCAGCAGUGGGGAAUUUUGGACAAUGGGCGAAAGCCUGAUCCAGCCAUUCCGCGUGAGUGAAGAAGGCCUUCGGGUUGUAAAGCUCUUUCGCAAGGGAAGAAAACUUAAGCUCUAACAUAGCUUGAGGUUGACGGUACCUUGAUAAGAAGCACCGGCUAACUACGUGCCAGCCGCCGCGGUAA
rnacentral:rRNA from 1 species